rnacentral:rRNA from 1 species
GAUGAACGCUAGCGAUAGGCUUAACACAUGCCAGUCGAGGGGCAGCAUGGUCCUAGCUUGCUAAGCCUGAUUGCGACAGGCGCACGGGUGCGUAACGUGUCUGCCACUUGCCUCUCAGAGGGGGAUAACACGCUGAAAGACGGACCAAUACCGAGCACACUUGGGAUAGGGCAUCCUGACACAAGGAAACGAAAUUCGCUGUGCGCUAGGCAUGCGUGCCAUUAGCUAGUGGGUGAGGUAACGGCUCACUAGGGCGAUGAUGGGUAGGGGAACUGAGAGGGGGGGCCCUCAGACUGGGACUGGGACACUGAGCAGACUGCUACGGGAGGGAGCAGUGAGGAAGAUAGGAGAAGGGGCGAGAGCCUGAAGCAGCCAAGUCGCGUGAAGGAAGACUGUCUUAUGGAUUAUAAACUUCUUGUUUACAGGAGUAACAGGAGUCACGUGUGGGUCCCUGAAGGUACCGUAUAAAUAAGCAUCGGCUAACUCCGUG